rnacentral:lncRNA from 1 species
AGAUAUUCCAGAAGUAGAAGACAAUGAGGAAGAAGACGGUGUUGAGCAGGGGGAGCCACAACCCGCUCUGCCAGAUGUUCCAGAACCAUAACAAGACUCAGAUGAUGGUUGAUCUCCUCAUAUUCCAGAAGUUCGUAGAUCUGAACGAGGUCGGAUUCCAUCGAAAACCAGAGAGUUUCCAUGAAGCAGUAUCUCAUAAGGACAAAGAACAGUGGUU